rnacentral:ncRNA from 1 species
CAUCACCGGAGGAGUGCGACAGACCCCCCCCCGACACCACCCUGGGACCCCUUUUGCCAGGACGGUCCCCACACGAGGAGGGAAAGCAGCACCCCGAGCUUGGCAGGGAGACCGGGAGCUCCCUGCAAGGUCACUCCCUGCUCAAAGCUUCACGUUGGGCAUGCACAGAGAAAAGGAGAAUGUCGGGAAGAGGCGCUGAGCACCAGAACAGGGUUCAGAGAGGGACCCCAAAAAUAGCCCAGGCAGCAGCUCCACAAAUUACCCGCCCCUGACCCAGAGAGGUAGCGAUGCAAAAAUAACAAUGCAGGACAUGGGCAGCUUUGUAAUCGGAACAAGCAUGCUUUAAAUCCUUUAAUAAGGAUUCAUUGGAGGGAAAGCUGGUGCCAGCAGCCGGGAUAACUCCAGCUCCGGAAG